UUAUUUGAGAGUUUGAUCCUGGCUCAGGAUGAACGCUGGCGGCGUGCCUAACACAUGCAAGUUGAGCGAUUUACUUCGGUAAAGAGCGGCGGACGGGUGAGUAACGCGUGGGUAACCUACCCUGUACACACGGAUAACAUACCGAAAGGUAUGCUAAUACGGGAU
rnacentral:rRNA from 1 species